GAUGAAGAACGCAGCGAAAUGCGAUACGUAAUGUGAAUUGCAGAAUUCAGUGAAUCAUCGAAUCUUUGAACGCACAUUGCACUCUCUGGUAUUCCGGAGAGUAUGCUUGUUUGAGUAUCUGUAAACAUCUCAAAUCUCUCUUCGCUUGCGUCGAGAGAAUUGGAUUUGAGCGAUCCCGACUCCUUCGUCAGAAAGAGGAGGGUCGCCUGAAAUGCAGGUGCAGCUGGACAUUCUUCUGAGCUAAAAGCAUAUCUAUUUAGUCCCGUCAAACGGAUUAUUACUUUUGCUUCAGCUAAUAUAAAGGUCGAAUGAACUACCAACGCUGAUUGCAGGAAAACUUGUUCGUUUAUUCGGACUUGUAAACUCGAUCUCAAAUCAAGUAAGACUACCCGCUGAACUUAAGCAUAUCAAUAAGCGGAGGA
rnacentral:misc_RNA from 1 species